UUCCUUAAAGAUAAAUUAAGAAAUAUCUUCUCAACUUUAGCUCAAUUUCACUUAUACUCAUAUACUUUAAAAAGUGUUAAACUGAUUCUUCUAGUUAUUGAUAUGUUCCAAUAUGGUCCGAUCAUUCAUUUUAUCAAUAAAUGGUGUUAGAUUUCUCCCUAAAUAGAUAAAAAUGCCCUUUAUUUAUGGAUGGACUUGGAGGAGGAAGA
rnacentral:lncRNA from 1 species